AGAACUCUGAACAAGAUCAAGGUUCUAUCAGUGAUAAAUAAGGGAGGCUAAGAGAAAGAAUCAGUAAUCCUUUCUACACAGUGGCCUUGGUGAUUUCAAAACUUUAAGAAUAUUUAAAAUAUUCAAGUUCUUUCUCCAAAAACUGGUGACUUUCUGCUGCUGAGCUCCUGAAAGUUUUUGAGAAGAAAGUUGAAAGGUUGAAAAUGGUGCUGUGUUUAUUUGAAUAUCUGAAGGGUAAACUCCAAGCUACUUAUCUGAAAACAAAUAUUCUCUGAAACCUGCAGAGUAAAGAAGUAUAACUUGACAUUUCUUCUGCAAGAAAAAAACAAGAAGAUGGUGACUUUCAAGACCUCAGUCAAUGACUAAAGUUCUGUGACCACAGUGAGCAUAUUACUGCGGUAACCAGGGCAGUAAUGUCAAGACAAAGGUCAGGGUUGGCUUUAAGAAAGAAGCCUGAGAACCGGAACUACAUAGAGGCCAGAAAAUCAGUGUCUACAUGCUAAAGGCAAUUUUCAGGAACAAGUACCAGGAGCAGAUCAACAAAACAAAGAAGAUCAACAAAACAAAUAAGGAAGGUGGUUUUAUGAACCCAGAGGGGCAGUGGUUAUGAGUUGUGGUGCCACUUUAUUCAACCUUAUCUGCUUGGAAGUUUUUCUCCUACACCAUUAAACCCCUCACUGAACCAAACUUUGUACAGACUGCAGCCAAGAAGGGCUGUAUUAUGGCUUUCUUGGACCUCUUCAUCCACAAAAAUAUUAAAAAUUGUAUUUCA
ensembl:lncRNA LINC01917 long intergenic non-protein coding RNA 1917